rnacentral:rRNA from 1 species
CAGUAGCCACGGGAAUACGUAGGUGGCGAGCGUUGUCCGGAUUUAUUGGGCGUAAAGCGAGCGCAGGCGGUCAAUUAAGUCUGAUGUGAAAGCCCACGGCUCAACCGUGGAGGGUCAUUGGAAACUGUUAAACUUGAGUGCAGAGGAGGAGAGAGGAAUUCCACGUGUAGCGGUGAAAUGCGUAGAGAUGUGGAGGAACACCAGUGGCGAAGGCGACUCUCUGGUCUGUAACUGACGCUGAGGAGCGAAAGCGUGGGGAGCGAACAGGAUUAGAUACCCCAGUAGUCCCUGUCUCUUAUAC